rnacentral:rRNA from 1 species
AGAGUUUGAUCAUGGCUCAGGAUGAACGCUGGCGGUCUGCUUAACACAUGCAAGUCGAACGGAAUCUUUCGGGAUUUAGUGGCGGACGGGUGAGUAACGCGUGAGAAUCUGCCUUCAGGUUCGGGACAACAGUUGGAAACGGCUGCUAAUACCGGAUGUGCCGAGAGGUGAAAGCUUAAGUGCCUGGAGAUGAGCUCGCGUCUGAUUAGCUAGUAGGAGUGGUAACGGCACCCCUAGGCGACGAUCCAUAACUGGUCUGAGAGGAUGACCAGUCACACUGGGACUGAGACACGGCCCAGACUCCUACGGGAGGCAGCAGUGGGGAAUUUUCCGCAAUGGGCGAAAGCCUGACGGAGCAAUACCGCGUGAGGGAGGAAGGCUCUUGGGUCGUAAACCUCUUUUAUUAGGGAAGAAGAUCUGACGGUACCUAAUGAAUCAGCUCGGAUCCCGC